rnacentral:misc_RNA from 1 species
UGCAGAGAACUUCCAUAAAGCAACCUGAAAGUAAGUAGAUGAAAUGGCCAUUUCAUGGAUAAAGAAGAAAUAUCUGCUUUAGAAGAAUAAAGCUAAGAGUUAAAGAUUUUGCUUUAAAAUUAAAUGAAGAAGAGAUAUUUAGGUCCAAAAAUAUAACCAGAUUACUUGGGUUCGUCAAUUUAUUAGAACUUCGUUAUUUUUAUUAUUUAUUUUGUAAAGUUAAAAGAAGGUCAAGUUAAUAUUGUAGCUUGGUAGAAGAUACUAGUUGUCACUGUUGCAUGCACACUGUUUACAUUACUAUUUGAUAGAAUUGUUUUCUCCCCGCUUCUUUAAUUUAGAGUUCAGCGGUUGUGAUUUAAUGUUUUCUAGGGCUAGGAGUUAUUAAUUUAACAGUUUAAAAGGCAUACAGAAGGGUUGUAAUAUUUGCCUAGCUUUGAAGUAUAUCAUUAGGAUUGGUCGCUAGAUACUAGUGUCCCUCUUGAUCUUUUUAUUAUCCAAUUCUCUUCCUUCAUUAUUUUUCUCAGAAUUUUUGUCUCUAUAAAUAUUGUGCAAAAGAUAUAGGCUUUAAUUCAUGCAAGUAAAGUAACUAUUAAAACCUGAAAAUUCAGCAAACCUUUUACCACAUUGCCUUCUAACGCAAAUACAUACCACUGCUAAUUUCAUUCAUGUUAAACCCUAAUUCCAACAGGAUUUGGAACACACAGGGCUUUAAGGCUAUUGUUCAUCAUAUGGAAACUUUUUAGCUUCUAAUAACAUAAUAAAUUCAGAAUGGAACAUGAGAUAGUAGGAUUGCUCAAAAUGAUUGGCAAAUGGAAUUGAGUCAACCGGCAGAAUUUGAUCCACAGAUUUUUUAAAGAAUGUGCUAGACCCGGUCAAUCAUGGACUCAAGAUAUAAAUAUGUGAAUUCCACCUAUUUUAAAUGUGGGUCCCAUUAUACACAUUAUUUCCUGAGUCCAUGAUGGACUGGAUUUAAGCAAGAAUUUCCAGUGCUAACUUUUAGGAAGUAUGAUGCACCUAUUUAUUUGCAAAGUGCACAAUUAAGCAUAUUAUACAUGCAGACAUAAACCUAUAGAUAUACAUAUGUUAUCAAGUAUACAAAAUUAUCAACAUUCUUCUAAUUGCUGGG